rfam:Capsicum annuum cultivar Zunla-1 chromosome 7, whole genome shotgun sequence
AAAGAGAUGGCUGAGGGGUUGAUAGCCCUGGUCUUGAAAACUAGUAUAUGUUUGAACAAAGAACUAUUGAGGGUUCGAAUCCCUCUCUCUCCU